UUUGUUUUUCAGAGUAUUUUAUGCCUUAAACAUUUUAAAUAAAAGUAUUUAUUUUUGGCUUAAUCGCUUUUUCCACUACUUUAUAGAAUUUGAAUAAAAACACAUUUGAGCCGUUUUAGGAAAUUUAUUUGAAUAAAAAUUCACUGCAGUUUUUUUAUAUUCAUAUAUUUCGGAUGUAACUGGCCUUUUCUCCAUUCCAGAAACAGGAAAUGUGUUUUUAAAGACACGGUCCAAGCUGUACAUUAUGUACACAGUGUUCACUCGAGGCCACGACCAGCAAAACCAACACGUCAGUACAGAAUAGAGAUCAAACAGAACCACCAGCGCCACCGUAAUCCCACAUCAUGGCUUACUUCUUCACUGUUAUCCUUUUAAUUAUUCUUCUUCAUUUAUUGGGACUAACUGGAGCUGAAAUCUUGAUCAAACCAUCGAUUUAUUUUUAAACCCAUGCUAAAGGUGAAGCUAGUCUCGUAUCAUUUUUAAAAUUGCUUUGUUUGGUUUUUUUCAUCGUGAGCAGCCGAAACGUUACACUUCUAAUAUAAAUUUCAUGUUUUAGACCUUUUUUUAAUAUUUGAAAUCUGAAUGAUGCAGAAAUGUUUAGGAAGGCACACUAAAUCUAAGAAAGACCACCAAUACCGUCGUCACAGACGCUCCGUUUUAAAUAGAUAAAAUAACUCGCUUUUUUAAACAUCUGGUAAUUACAUAGAAUAGAGAAACAUUUCUUUAAGUUCAUAUUUACAGGAACGUUCGUCACGUUUUUUCCAAAGUGACGGGGACGGCACGAGAGAAACGUUCAUCUGUUAGUGAGGGGGACAAAAAAAGAAGCAAAAAACAAACAAACAGAAAAGGGAAACAAAAUCAUUUCCACCUUCAGAUACGAAGAAAUACCAGAAAAUAUGUUCAGUAUGUUGUAAAAAGGAAUCAUUUAAAAAGCACACGUGGUUAUUUACACGUUACAGGAACGACAUAUUGCACAUGAGAGCUGAAGCUGUGAUCAUAUUAAACUACAGCAUGGAGGAAUAGAAAUUCAAGUCAGUGUUGAUGUCGUGUUUAACAGAACGAGCUGGAUCUCAUAAAACUCACCGUUACCUCUUUAUACAGAUUUCUUUUCAUGUUGUAAGAAAUUUGGCUCGUGUACGGAAAUUCGUUUAUACGACUGGCUUUCAGUAGUACGUCACGCGUGGAAAGCUGAGGCGGCGGACAUGUUAGCGCAGGAGAGAAAGUCUCGGCACCCUGGCGUUGUUUUUAUUCUCAUGAUUUUCUGCAACUAAAUUAUCUGGACAAUCAAAAAAGAUUUCAUUCUUUUUUAUUUCAUUAUUAUUAUUUUUUCCCACAUAUUUUUAAGCUGCUUUUUAGACUGAAUUCAUUUUGAUUUAUUUUUAAUCAGUCUUUGUUAAUAAAUGAGAGUAAGAUGGUUGUUUAUCCAAACCCAAUCAAUCAAGUCAUACCUGAAUCUGUGUAUCGGUCAGUUCGCACGGGAUUACAUUAACCUGGGUUUAUCUUUACAGGGGUUUUUAUAGCAGGUAAAAGACACCGUAACCUUCCCUGCACAGUCCGGGAAGAAAGUCCGGAAAAAUAGCUGACAUGACCAGUUCACACAGGAUUAAAAUCACAGAGAAGCUCUGGUAAUUAUUACAUCACCCAGCUUUCCCAUAUAAAACUAGUCCCAUCUGUAUAGCCCUUGUGAAAACAUCUGGAAUGAAUCCAUUAAUCUGGGAUCCACGGUGACCCUGACUGGGAUAAAGGGCUCGCUGAAAAUGAAUUCAAGUAUGAAGAAAUGAAAUUAGCCCUAUAUAUUUCGAACAUUAUUUAUAGGGAACAUUAAUAAUUAGUUACUAGCAUACUAGCAGAGUCGGAUUUAGCCUUGGGUUUGACUUUCACACCCGUGUUAACGUGCCUGCACACGCUGAGCUGUAUAGCUUUAAAACUGUGUGUGUGUGUGUGCGUGUGUGUAUAUAUAUUAGUUUAACUCUACUCAAAAAGGCAACACAUAUACGUGAUAAGGCAAAUCCAUAUUUAUACAUAAUUCUGUUUUCCGCCUGAGAAAUAAACCUCUUCACGUGCCUCAGAGGGCGCUGUAGCCCUUAAAAU
ensembl:lncRNA